rnacentral:ncRNA from 2 species
CACUCAUCCAGAGGGGCAGAGGGACACGGCCCGUUGAAGCCCCGGCAACCGCGUUCUGUGCGUAUGCGCAGCGUGAGGUGCCAAUUCCGUCCCGCGCGGCUCGACGGCCCGGCGCGGGGAAGAUGAGGA